rnacentral:lncRNA from 1 species
CCCCCAGGUAUUGGUUCUAUUAAAUUAAUAGUAUAUUAAAUCCCAUACAAGUGCACUAGCACUAUGAGGUUUAAACUUAGCAUAACCUAAAGUCACAAGUACAGUGAUGUUGCAUAGUUCGAGCAAGUGCUUACCAAGAUUGUUAAUGUUGGUUGAGCCCAAUAUGGAGGAUCUUUAAACCUGCUAUAUGCCUUCAAGAAAAGUCUCUGCAACAAAGAUAAGGGUAAAAGGAGUCCUAGACGACACGGUGC